GCCUGAAUAACAAAACAAACCGUUGAGAGAGGUGUAUUCUGCUAUGAGAGCGCAGAGAGCUCGCGCUCUCUACGGCUUUCUGAGGGGAACGAAAGCUCCUGCUUGAUGCUGCGGGCGGAAAGUGCGCGCUGCAGGGCGACGGCGCAGUCACAAGUGCCCAUCAAAGCCUCUGCUGCAAGCGGGAGGAACCUGGCAGUGACAGGCCGAAUCAAGGUUUCUCCCGGUCCAUCAGCUGAGUGGUCGUGUGGGGCUUGAUCAAUGGCAGGAAACCAGCGGAUCAAAUGGUAAUUCAUCUGAAAGAGAUAGGCCAGCGUCGACACAACCAAUGCUCUGAGCUACAAGCUCUCACAGUCUCACGCCAGAAUUAGACGUUCAUGUUUCUCAAACGUCAAAUUUCCAAGUUGUU